AAAAAAUUGUCCUACGAAAAUUAGUUAUUUGGCAACUCAGAGUAAAACAUGGUACAUAAAAUCCCGCAGGAGAGUUGCUAACACUAGUGUGGGUCAGGAAGUCAUACUGUACCUACGAGAUGAAGAAUCCAAUUGUUCUUUUCUUCUUCGCGGUUUUCGCGAUGCUGAACUCCGCUAUGCCUCUCGAGUAUAGCUACGGCGGUCACAGUUAUAACGCCCCACAGUACAGGGGACAGGGAUAAGUCCCACAGUUUCACCCAUGACAACUCCUGAAGCUUGAAAUGACGCUCAUGUGCAAAAUUGUUGUCCAAAAUUUGAGUAUGUCUAAUGGAAAUAUACUGGUAUAAUCAUAUCCUUUCA